rnacentral:lncRNA from 1 species
CAAACAAAGAAAAAGGAAGAACAAAAGGAGGAAAGGAAAAAACAAGAAACCUAGGUGGGAAAAUUAAAGGAAAAUUGGUGGAUUUCAAGGAAUCAAGCAAUCAAAGGUAAAAUUUCUUGAUUUUGACUUGUGAUCUACCUUUCUCAUGCUUUUCUCCUUAUUUUCGAUGGUUAGAUUUCAUGUUUUCAUGUUGAAUUCAUGGCUGCCCAAAUGGGUAUGGAGAGAGAAUGAAGUUAGAUUAAUUUGAUUUAAAGUUAUGUUAGUGUUUUUAGUUAGUUUAGCAUAUUUAGGAACAAAACAACAAGAAAAGAAUUCAUUUUCCUCCAUUACCAUUAUUGGCCGAAUUUUCUAGGGGAAUGUUGGCUGCUGAUCUUGAUGUUUAUUUGAGGAAUUAUGAUGAAUAAUGAUGAAUUAUGAGCCUAGAAAAAUAAUGAGAAAUUUCGAAGUAAAAAUAUAAAUUUUUACCCACUAGGGGUAUUUUUGUAUUUUGCUACCGGGACUGAUAAUUUGCACCACACUGAGGAACAUUAAGUCAAUUUGGGUGCAAUUGAGGUAUAGAAAUUGAAAAAAAAUUAAUUUGGAGUUUAAACGGACGCGUAUAUUGAUUUAUCGGGUAAAAGAUCAAAAUAGGCUAACAUCUCAUUUAGGCAAAAUUUAGACAUUUUGCACUUCAUAUCAUGCGUUAGUAGUAUAAAUUAGUUUAUUUUGGUUUAGUACGAAAGCAGUAAACCUCUUAAUUGUGCAAUUUGUCAAGGUGGCGAAUCCUUUGGCAAGGGCAAAGAAAUCGCACCCGAGGAGUAAUAGUUGGAGUACCCGAAUUUAGUUUUCGAAAACUAUGAGUAAACUUAUUAUCGUCUUAAUUAUCUAGAGUAGUUUUAUACAAUUGUGUGAUUUUAUGAAAAAUGUGUUUAAAUGGUAAAUUGCUAUGUUUUAAGAGAAAUUGUGAUUUUAAAAAAUGAUUUUAUAAAUUUUCUGUAAAUUUAUGGUUUUAAAUUGAAUGGCUUAUGACAAUAAAUGAGCAUGAAUGGCUAAACUGAUUUUGGUGUUAGAAUUAUUUGUACUGUGUAUUUAGCCUUGAGAGGCUAGGUUGCUAUAAAUUGCCAUGUCAUGCAGAAAAAAAAUUUUAUAAAUCAGAUGGUAGAUAAAAGAUUAGCUACUGCAGUGGUGGGGGGUUCUGUGGGCCAGCCUACUAGAGGGGCAUGGUAAACUCCUUUAUAUUCUCACCUCGGUCGUAGAGGCGUGUAGGGUAUCUCCUGAGGUGGGUUUUUUGAGUGCACUUCACGUGGACCACCGCGUGAGAGUGAGACUUAGCCAACGCCAAGGAACAACUAUGUUUUAAAAUAAAAAUAUGAUUUAUGCGAAAUAUGAAUUUUAACAGCCUUAGCGGACUCGGUUGGAUACCCCUGGUCCAGGUGUCCCCGAGUACAAGAUUUGGCAUGAGCCAAGUUUUGAGUAAUUCACGAGCCAUAUUGAUUAUUUGGUUGAAAUAAAUAUUCGUGAUGUGAAAAAUUUGCUGAAGUUAAUUAUUUUUAAUUGUCUCCAUUUACUCGCCUUUAGAUAGUGUAGAUGGUGUCUGUUUACUCACUGGGAUUUUAUAAUCUCACCACCCUCAAUUCCCCACAUUUCAGGUUCGGGAUAGCAGGUAGAUAGCCGAUUGCAUCAAGGACUUCAGUUAGCCUUGCAUUGUCAAAAUUAUAGGUUCACAGACUCGCAUCUUAUUGGUUAGUUGGGGGCUCACGUGUCAUUGUAAAAGUAAUUUUAUACUUUUGUUAUCUGAUUUAAAAUAUGUAUGAACAUAUUUAGCUUUUACACCAUGUUUUUUGCGAGUUUCGAUAUUAUCGAAGAAAAAUGACAAAAAUGCCCUUGUGAGCCAAAAAAUAAUAUUUUAUUGUUUUGAUUUGGAAACGACUUAUGAUUUCUUGAAAUGCAAGAUUUAAUAAC